GGUGAUAACUUCCUUACAAGAAGAAACACGUGAAGCCUAGCAGUCACCAUUUCGUUUAUUCCAUAUGAUUGCUUAAGUUUUCAAGUGGGCAGCAUUCUAUUUCAAGGCCAUUCUGUUGCAAAACUUUGCUAUGUGGUUGUAACAUAACUGUGUCUGUUGUAAACCAAAGAGGACAGGGGGAAAAAAAGAAGAACAGAUCACAGGAAAAGGUACUUCGUGUAACUUUUCAUGUGAGGGUCUUAAAGUAGGUAACUGAUUAUUAAAACAAAAAUUUUAAGUUCUCUGAGCUUCUACCCUGAAGGUUUUCACUAAAGAUUAAAGUGGCCUUUCCAGAGACUCUAGCACAAAACUGGAUUAAGGACAACUAAUGGUCUAAAUAAAUGAUUGUCAUCGUUACAUGAGAACUGCAAAGACCAACACAAUAAGAACAGAUGACCAUUUACUAAAUAUCAACAAGAUACUUCUUUCAAAAACAAUACAAUGUCACAAUUGAAGCCCCAAUUUCAUCUCAUUUCCCACACGCCUCCUUCAGAGGAAGCCACUCUCCUAAAGUUUGUGUUUCCCCUUGCCGGCAGUGUUCUUUAAGCUUUGACAAUAAAAAGGGCGUCCCUGUUGUCUACCCUUGCAGGAUGCAUGUCUGGGCCAAUCAAUUUAAAAAAAAAAAAGACUCACAGUGUCUGAUUUGUUUAGCUUCGUGUUUCCCAAAUAUCCUAGCUGUAACAACAGUGCUGAGUACAUGAGAAAAGAUGACUCAUAUUUCCUGCAAGUCAGCACAGAUAUCCAUCCUUCCAAAUUAUUUGAACCUUUGGCCACUCCCAAAUAGAGUCAAAGUGUUGGAACAAUUUAUGAGCAUUUGUUUCAUUUGUUGAGAACAAUUCUAGUACAUCUGUAAUAAAGAU